rnacentral:rRNA from 1 species
UGGGGGAUAUUGCACAAUGGGCGAAAGCCUGAUGCAGCGACGCCGCGUGGGGGAUGAAGGCUUUCGGGUUGUAAACCUCUUUCGCUAUCGAACAAGGCCCGCUUAGGGUGGGUUGAGGGUAGGUGGAGAAGAAGCGCCGGCUAACUACGUGCCAGCAGCCGCGGUAAUACGUAGGGCGCGAGCGUUGUCCGGAAUUAUUGGGCGUAAAGGGCUUGUAGGCGGCUUGUUGCGCCUGCUGUGAAAACGCGGGGCUUAACUUCGCGCGUGCAGUGGGUACGGGCAGGCUUGAGUGUGGUAGGGGUGACUGGAAUUCCAGGUGUAGCGGUGGAAUGCGCAGAUAUCUGGAGGAACACCGAUGGCGAAGGCAGGUCACUGGGCCAUUACUGACGCUGAGGAGCGAAAGCACGGGUAGCGAACAGG